GGGCCCGCACAAGCGGUGGAGCAUGUGGUUUAAUUUGACGCAACGCGCAGAACCUUACCAACCCUUGACAUACUUGUCGCGGAUUCCAGAGAUGGAUUCCUUCAGUUCGGCUGGACAAUGUACAGGUGCUGCAUGGCUGUCGUCAGCUCGUGUCGUGAGAUGUUCGGUUAAGUCCGGCAACGAGCGCAACCCACGUCCUUAGUUACCAGCAUUUAGUUGGGUACCCUAAGGAGACUGCCGGUGAUAAGCCGGAGGAAGGUGUGGACGACGUCAAGUCAUCAUGGCCCUUACGGGUUGGGCUACACACGUGCUACAAUGGCAUCUACAGUGAGUUAAUCUCCAAAAGAUGUCUCAGUUCGGAUUGGGGUCUGCAACUCGACCCCAUGAAGUUGGAAUCGCUAGUAAUCGCGGAACAGCAUGCCGCGGUGAAUACGUUCCCGGGCCUUGUACACACCGCCCGUCACACCAUGGGAAUUGGGUCUACCCGAAGGUGGUGCGCCAACUAUUUAUAGAGGCAGCCAACCACGGUAGGUUCAGUGACUGGGGUG
rnacentral:rRNA from 1 species